rnacentral:tRNA from 3 species
CAGUAAAUAGUUUAAAAAAAAUAUUAAUUUUGGAGAUUAAUGAUGAGAAUUUCUUUUUACUGA